AGCAGCCGCGGUAAUUCCAGCUCCAAUAGCGUAUAUUAAAGUUGCUGCAGUUAAAAAGCUCGUAGUUGAAUUUCGGGACUAAUAUGUCGGUCGUGCCUCGGUACGUACUGGCUUAUUGGUUUCUCCUUUCUGAAGAACCAUGAUGUCAUUUAUUUGGUGUCGUGGGGAAUCAGGACUGUUACUUUGGAAAAAUUAGAGUGUUUAAAGCAGGCUCACGCUUGAAUACAUUAGCAUGGAAUAAUGAAAUAGGACGUUUGAUUCUAUUUUGUUGGUUUCUAGGAUCGACGUAAUGAUUAAUAGGGAUAGUUGGGGGCAUUAGUAUUCAAUUGUCAGAGGUGAAAUACUUGGAUUUAUUGAAGACUAACUACUGCGAAAGCAUUUGCCAAGGAUGUUUUCAUUAAUCAAGAACGAAAGUUAGGGGAUCGAAGACGAUCAGAUACCGUCGUAGUCUUAACCAUAAACUAUGCCGACUAGGGAUCGGAUGAUGUUAAUUUUUUAAUGACUCA
rnacentral:rRNA from 1 species